rnacentral:rRNA from 1 species
UACGAAGGGGGCUAGCGUUGCUCGGAAUCACUGGGCGUAAAGCGCACGUAGGCGGGAUGGCAAGUCGGUCGUGAAAUCCCUCGGCUCAACUGAGGAGCGUCGAUCGAAACUGCCGUUCUUGAGGGUUGCAGAGGAGACUGGAAUUCCCGGUGUAGCGGUGAAAUGUGUAGAGAUCGGGAGGAACACCGGUGGCGAAGGCGGGUCUCUGGGCCGAUACUGACGCUGAGGAGCGAAAGCGUGGGGAGCGAACAGG